GCACUACUGAGGAGUCCCAUACUAGGACGAGACGGCAGUCCAGUGC
rnacentral:hammerhead_ribozyme from 1 species